ensembl:lincRNA
GGAGCAUUUUCACCAAGCUGAUUCAUUGGACACACUACUAUUUCUAAGGUGCAGCAAUUAACAGCUUCCAGUGAAUCAUGAAGACGGCUCUCUUUCUGAUGCUCCUCAUUGGGCUGAGCAUUGCUCUUCCAAUCGAAGAAGAGCACCACCGUGAAGCAAGAGCUAGCUCUGGAUUAAAUCCAGUGGGAGUUCCUAGUCCUAUCUCUUCUACUACUUCAUAUUUGUCCAAGAUUUUAGACAUGGUGCAAACACUGUUAACUUUACUAGGGCGUUAAUAUGGAAGGACAUGAGGCUUCACAAACUCCGGCAGCAACACAAACUCUGUUUCCAGCUGGCUAAAAUCAACCGUCCGCAGUCUUGUUUCUCCUUUCUAGAUUUUCUGUAGAAUUAUUGUUUUCCUUCAGUGAUUAUGGAAAUGUGCUUACAUGUGCGUGCAGCAUGCAAUUAUCAAUAAACU